UCCUCAGUAGCUCAGUGGUAGAGCGAUCGGCUGUUAACCGAUUGGUCGUUGGUUCAAAUCCGACCUGGGGAG
rnacentral:tRNA from 2 species